GACGAGAGAACGUUCCGUGUGUUUGCAUCUGGAGAUCUUGGAACUUCCCUGGUGACGAAUCCUGCUCAACCCUGCAGACGGACAGGUUGACAAUGCAUAUCUAUAAGAAGAGGAGUAGGAAAGCCCUGCUCAGGUGAGGGCUCCAUAGCUCAGGGGUUAGAGCACUGGUCUUGUAAACCAGGGGUCGCGAGUUCAAAUCUCGCUGGGGCCUUCGGCUCUCCUUUUGUUUUCAAGUCUGAGCAGGGGCCGCCCUUGAGCAAGCGUGCGUCCUGCGCCCGUCCGCCCUGCACCCGGGGUCUGCGGCUUCUCAGCCUCGCGCCUCGCGUCUGCUACCGGCAGCUGUGGGGCCGCCCAGCCGGGACUCCGCGCGAGGCCGGCGGUUAGCUUUGUAAGCGGGACCCGGCGCUCGGCCUGCCAGCAGAAGGCGCUGCGCCACCGCGGAUCCCAUUACCUACGACCGAGCAUGAGCCUUGGGGCAGAAGGACAAGCCCCGUACGCCGGCGGCUCGUUGGUCUAGGGAUCAUGAAGCGGGUCCCUUUCCUCACGGUCCCCGCGGCUGCCGUCAGCUCUGCACCGACUCCACAGAAGCCUUUUAGCUUCGUCUCCUCAGGCUCUGUUCUCCAUUCUACAGAACAACCAGACACCUUUUUGGAGCACGCCUUUCCAAGUAGCCCCAGCUGUCACUGAGCCCUGUGAUUUUUCUUUACGGCACGUAUCCCUACUGCAUACUAUUAAUAAUUAGCUUUUCUUUGAAAAGGCAUGGUCCGACAGAACUCAGUAUAGAGCCCUGGCUGGCCUCAAAUUCAAAAUCCUCCUGCCUCAGCCUGCCCAGUGCUGGGGUGUCUCACCAUUCCCAGCUCACUACUGGGUAGUGUUAUUAUAUAUUGUUGUUCCUUUCCUCCAAAGCCCUGCCUUGCAGCCCUCUCCUCUCUUUGGAUAGAGCCCCACGAGACGAGCAUUUUAUUACGGGGCUGCUGUAAUCCUCACACUUCGCAGUGUCCCCGACACAUAGUAGGUAGAGGCUGGCGAAGGGGCCAUGCUGUGAUGGGCUUGCAUGAAAAUGAGGAAGCCUAAACCUACUCUUCCCGACUCUGCUCUAAGUACGGUGCACGUAUGUGUCGAUUCUGCCAUCGGAGCCAAAGAGUCUGACACUAUGGAAAGAUCGGCGACCCAGAGCGAGGAGCGCAGCCCCGCGGGUACACGCCGCGCCCUCGGAGCGUCCGCGCAGACUCCCCUUCCCGCAGCAUCUUCAUCCGGAUUCUGAAAACCCACAGAGGUCCCGGUACCGCUUCUUCCUGGAAAGAUUCGGGGUUUCGGGGUUCCGUGCCUGUGGAUUUGGGCAAGGAGACUGCAGGGACUUAUUUCCUCCACCAAGGGGCGCCCCGUGCCUAUAGUUAUCAAAGGAAAACUGAAACCAUCGGCGGACGAGGCCGAAUCUAGGAAAGGCUGGGAGGCACAGAACACCUCACCUCUCCUUCCUGGAUAGCCAGUCCUAUGAGAUCAGCCUGUGCCUGCCUUUAAAUGAAGCUCAGUAACUUUGGUUUGUAAAAGCAGAUUGGAGUCUUACUGUCACACUUCUUCUUUCCUAGCACUCCUGUUGGAGAUACAGAAAUGGAAACCCUGGAAAGUGGCGUACAUGGCUUCUCAUGCUAACAUAGGUAGCUGAUGUCACUAAAGGGACAAGACAUGACAUCUUUUACCCAUUUGCCUGUUGUGCCCAGGUCGCAAGACCCCCAAGCAAGACCACCACAGAGCCAAUAUCCGAUGCAAGCACACAGAGGUUUUUAUUAACAAAACAAGCAAGCUUGGUCCACCAUCCAACAUCUGACACAUUGGGUGGAAGAGAACGGCCCCGAGCACUCACUUGAAGGGGUUUAUAUAGGAAAAGUUAACAUGCAGCUUGGGAUUGGACGAGGGGGCUAGGGUGAGGUAAGCAUAAGGUUACUAACUGCUAACAGGUUUCAAGGUAUCUGUAGAGACAUAAAUUUUUAUUCCCCAUGUC